AGUGGUGUAGCUCAGUGGUAAAGCACUUGUCUAGGAUGCAUGAAGCCCUAGGUUCAAUCCCAAGCACCCUGA
rnacentral:tRNA from 1 species